UCCAUUCCGCGUGAGUGAAGAAGGCCUUCGGGUUGUAAAGCUCUUUCGCAAGGGAAGAAAACUUAUGAUCGAAUAAAUCAUGAGGUUGACGGUACCUUGAUAAGAAGCACCGGCUAACUACGUGCCAGCAGCCGCGGUAAUACGUAGGGUGCGAGCGUUAAUCGGAAUUACUGGGCGUAAAGCGUGCGCAGGCGGUUUUGUAAGUCGGAUGUGAAAUCCCCGGGCUCAACCUGGGAACUGCGUUCGAAACUGCAAGGCUAGAGUGUGUCAGAGGGGGGUAGAAUUCCACGUGUAGCAGUGAAAUGCGUAGAGAUGUGGAGGAAUACCAAUGGCGAAGGCAGCCCCCUGGGAUAACACUGACGCUCAUGCACGAAAGCGUGGGGAGCAAACAGGAUUAGAUACCCUGGUAGUCCACGCCCUAAACGAUGUCAACUAGUUGUUGGUAGAGUAAAAUCUAUGAGUAACGUAGCUAACGCGUGAAGUUGACCGCCUGGGGAGUACGGUCGCAAGAUUAAAACUCACAGGAAUUGACGGGGGCCCGCACAAGCGGUGGAUUAUGUGGAUUAAUUCGAUGAACGCGAAAAAGCUUUACUUGGCUUGACAUGUUCCGA
rnacentral:rRNA from 1 species